rnacentral:rRNA from 1 species
UACGUAGGGGGCGAGCGUUAUCCGGAUUCAUUGGGCGUAAAGCGCGCGCAGGCGGGCUUGCAAGCGGGGCCUUUAAUCUUGGGGCUUAACCUCAAGUCGGGUUCCGAACUGCAAGCCUCGAGUGUGGUAGGGGAAGGCGGAAUUCCCGGUGUAGCGGUGGAAUGCGCAGAUAUCGGGAAGAACACCGAUGGCGAAGGCAGCCUUCUGGGCCAUUACUGACGCUGAGGCGCGAAAGCUGGGGGAGCGAACAGG